CACGAAUGUAAUUCAACGGGGAAUGGAUAAGGUGUGAAUUUAUUUUUGUGUGUUUGGGGUAUGGGGGGGUGAUAAACUUCUGGCACUUACAGCAUUAAGCACCUUACACUCAAACUAAUGCACUUUAUUAAGAUGGAAUUUGAAUAUUAGUUUUUUUUCUUCUUUUUGAGAGAGAUUUAUGUGUGUGUGUCCGUAUGUGUAUAUAUAUUUAUGUGGUAUGGCUUCAGAAAUACUACCACAUAUAUAUAUUUAUAUAGUGUGUGUGUGUGUGUGUUGAAUCAGAACUGGAGUUUGUGCUGGUAGUAAAAAAAGGUGGCGAUCGGGGGACCAUUGCGUGUUCUAGUUCAGACAUUAUCAGAAAAAACAAAUCCUCUCUUUAAAGAAAAACACUGUUGUUUUGUUUUUUAUAUAAAAAGUUUCUAUAAAAAGAUAAAGCUAUUAAAAAAACAUUGAUUAUAAAACUUGAAGAUUUGCACUCACAUAAAAUGCAAGUAAAAAUAUAAAAAAAAGAAAUGCGUUAGAUAUCAUAGAGAUUUAAUAUUUUUGUGAUUUGUGUGCCUGUGUGUGUGCGUAUACAUACAUGUUUGUUCGAGGCAGAAUGUGUAAGUCUGUGUGUGUGUUUAAAACUGCACAAUGUAUUUUUUUUAAUCGCUUACUUAGAUGUAUGAAUCAAAAGAGGCCAUUUUGUUAUAUUGAAUUUUUUUUUGUAUUUUAUGACCCGAAUGUGCAGAUGUAAGCGCUCUUAUACAGGGGAAACUGUAGUACUCCUUGUAAAGUGCAGUAUGUUUGUAUGUGAGUAAAUGAAUUAAAGAAAGGCAGAGAGAGGGGGGGGCAACGGCACAACACAUCCUCUUUCACCAGCCCUUCAUUCCCCAACAAAGGAAAAACCUCUAGAUUCAAACACUUUAAAAGCUUUAGCCCAUUUUACGCCAACCAGCACUCUUAGUUUUCACGGUGAGGAGCAUAAGAGUUUCUUCCUGCCUCUGCAGGAAGUUUGUGUGUGUGUGUGUGUGUUUCUGUUUCCACAUGUGUGCCUAAGAACUAAAGGGCGAAUGAUUAAACUUCAUUGCUGCCAUUGAGACAUUAUUUUUUUUAGUGGAGGGGUGUGGCCAAGUAUGUGGCUCCGCCCCUAACACAUCCUACGCUUUUGAACCAAGAGCUUAGCAUCAUUCUCUGUCAGUUGUAGUGUAGCCUGGGGAUGCUUAGAUGAAAGAAAUGAUUGAUAUUUGGAGGAUGUGACCUAACAUUGCCUUUCUGUCCACUCUCUUUCUAUUGAGUGACUGGAGAUUCUUUUUCUGGCUGAAAAAAAAAACAAACAAACAAAAACAAUGGCAUCAAACUGUGCAAGCGCACGUAGCAGUGCACAAAAUGUUUGUAUAUUUUGUUACUUGUUCAUUGUUGACGAUGACAAUGAUGUUUUUUUUUUUCUUUUAAUGUUAUAUAUAUAUGAAUAUAAACAAAGUGAAAAGUAUUGGACUAUAAGGAAGAGCACUUGGGGCUGCUACAUAUUUGUUUAUUUUGAAAUCAUUUUCCUUGGAUUUUUAGUUGCCACCAUGUAAAGUGCAUUUGUGUACUUUAUUUUCCUUUUAAGAAAACAUUGAAUGUAUUCCAAAAAUGUAACGGUGAAGAUGGAAUUGCUCAACACAGGAUAUUAAUGCGUAAUCAACAGGACAUCAACAGGAGCGAAGUCGAAAGACGUUUCAUAUUCAUGAUGGCUACCACAAAAACACUGCCUCUACAAUCCUGUUCGUACAAACUCUAAGAAAAAAAAAAAAAAAAAAAGAAAUUCUAUUCCAUACUGGAGUUUUGGUUGUUUACAAACCACACAGACAAUUGUGGGUGCUUUUUUUCCUUCUUUUUAUUUUUGUAGUGAUUGAAAAUGCGAUUCUGCAUUUUAGAAUCAUUGUGAUGGAGGGGAUUUUAAAGGCAUGAUGUCAAACCCUUACUUUUGCAUGUUGAUCGAGCGCAGCUUAUAUAGCUUGCUGACUGAAACAAUCUUCGAUCGCUGGAACGCAACUAAUGGAAUUACAUCAAAGAUUUCUUCAUAUACCUUUAUUUUACAGUGAGGAAUCAUAACAAAGGCAAUUGUGUUUUGUUUACCGAGCUGUUCUUUGUUUACCUUUGGCUAAUCUUUCUUUAUAAUUGAAUGGAAAUGACUUGUGAUCAUCAAGACAGAAGAAAUGCUUUUAUGUUCCUGGAGAGAAGGCAAAAUCAGACAGCGUGGAUGACCUCUUGGUACUUUAAAAUGCGUCAUUCAAAUGCUUUAACAUUUUCCACCUUUUUCCCCUCUUUUUUUGGCUCAUGGAUUAUUUUGUAUUGUGUUGAACAGAAACAAAGAGAUGGACUUAUCUGUGAUGGAUGUAGAUGAGAAGAACAAAAUACAUGUAUGAUUUGAAAUCUGCCAGAUAAUUCCUUGGACAGUGUGAACACUUUUUUUAUUAGUUUUUUUUUUUUUUUUUUCCUUCUCUUUGAGGGUGUAUGUCAUAGCCAUCAUCAUCAUAAAGAUAACAAAGGCACUGUCCUGAUACCUUCACUAUGCACAUUUAAUUUGCUCAAAACAGUAAGGAACUUUUGCUCUGGCUUGGAGAGCACUAACAAGAAAGCGAGAUGUCUGUCUACGCAAAUGGAUGUUUCUGCCUAAGAAAAACUUGCAUGAUAGAGUGACUAUUCCCUCUUUCUCCCUUAUUGGUGUUGUUUAUCGGGCUCUCUUAGAACUUCGCCACAUGAGCUUUACCAUAGAUGUAUAAGGGAAGUUUCAGAAGCUUUGGGACUUACAAAUCCUUGGCGUUUUCCCGUGGAGCAUUUUCAUUGAACAAUGUUAAUAUUGAAAACCAUAUGAACCGUCUCCAAACUUGGUUACAGUGUGGAGAUUUAGAACAGAUUCACUCAAACAGUGUUCUACGUUAUGUUGAAAAGGAUUAACCUGCUUGGUCCAGGGUGCUAGUCAACACAAAAUAUUUUUGUGGACUUGAUUAUUUCAUUGAUGACUGAAAAAUACUUUUUGGAAAAAGAGGACUAUAUGACUUUUUUUUUUUUUUUUUAAUUGAAGAUAAAAAAACAAUAAGCUCUGUCAGCUUUAACCAACUGCUGACAGUAUGGCUGAAGUUCACCUUUUGCUUGAAGUGGUUACAGUGCUACCAGAUCGUCUUGUAUGGUCUUUGCUGUUCCAGAUCUUCAGAUGAAGAUGGAGACUCUCCACUGAUUUGUUUUAUGCUUCGUUCAUCUACAUCUUCACUUCAGUGGAAGAUGUCCUUUACACGCCAAUGUUGGGGAUUCCAAACAGCACGUGGAAUGAUGAAUGCCCAACAAAAACAAAGGAUGGAGGAAUCCAGUUUUCUGGAACCAUGGCAUCCCUCUCCAAGGAGCACUGCGAACUUGUGACAUGUUCUUGUUUCUUUGGUAGUAGGGAGAGAACUGUGAAUACUGGAACAGUCAAACCUGCACAGAAUAGUUCUGUGGGCAGCCAGAGUUACCUUUACACACAGCACACUCGCAUUUAAUCUAAAACACACCCUCAUACACUUACCCAUGAACGGAUUUGCUUUUGUCAAUUUUACACACACACACACACACACACACACACACACACACACACACACACACACACUCAACCUUACACUCACUGACAUGGCUGACCCCAGUCCCACUACACCUGACCUCUGGCUGCCGUGUAAAAAUGUAUAUAAUCCUCUCUCUUUUGGGUUUUUUGAUUUCUUUUUUUCUUUUUUUUAUUAAUGACAUGCCUUAACAGUUCAUUUCUGCCUAUUGAGGCACACUUAAAGAUGGGUGAAUUGAAAAGUGUUAGCAAUCAUAGAGACUAGCUCUGUGAUGUGAUAGUGUGAUUUUAUUUAAGAAACCCUUGAAACAUUGUGCUUAUGAACUGCUCUUCACUUACACAGGCAAAGUAAUUUUUAAAACAAUACAAAAGCUCAAUUGUGAGAUAUCAAAAAAAGAUGCAGUGUAAUUGAUAACUUCAUUUUCUUGAGCUGGUUGUAACUGAGCUAGUGUUGUAAAUGUAUGAUGUAGAAAAGCACUUUCUGCCUUUUAUUUUAAAUAUAAAAGUAAUCUGGAUGCAAAGCUGUUCGUUGAUCAGCACUGCAAAAUGUUUCUGACUUUUUGAUUGUGGACAGUGUGGUGUGGAUUCCUAGAUCAGUGUUAGUUUGUUUAGAAGCUCUGAUAAUUGAAAGAGGCUUGGUGUUGAUAACGAGGUAGUGUGCUGAUCUAGAAUCAACUUACUGUCCAUUUGUAAUUUAUUCAUGCCCAUAUGAAAGACAAAAACUGUUUCAAGGUCAUAAUUUACUGUUAUAUGCUUAACAUAAGGAUGCUUUUUCAUUCUAUCUUGUAUGACCUCUGAAUAGAGGUUGCUGUUGAGAAAUACUUUACUAACACAUGCUCAAGUGUCAGCUUUUACUGAAUGAAAGAUCUGAAAGGAUGUUAUUUGUUUAUGGAGGUGAUGCUGAUGUCAUUAUGUGAGUAAGGUAUUGCCCUUUAAAUAUGAUAAAUGGUAUAAAGUUGCAGACCAGAUGAAACAAAUCUGAGAGUUCUAAUAUCUUUAUUAGUAUGCGAGCAUCUAUAUUUUUUAAAAGUUAGUAAUAAAACAUAAGCAGUUCAUAUUUAUUGAUUCUGUGUGAAAAGCAACAUAACUGUUUUUCUUGAAUCGGGUCCCCUCGUGUGUUCACGAUAGUUGAUUCAGCAGGAUAACUGAGACCGUAGAUCAGCACUUUUGAUGAAGUCUGGUGCAUAAUGAAAGAUCUUUUACAUCAAUAGUCCCCCUUGCUUUCUGCAACUAUAACCUGAGGUGGAUCUUUAUAAUUUCCAGACAUAAAACAAUUUAAAAGCAUCAUUAGAAGCAAUUUUGAAAGAUUUAAGGUUUGAAUAUUCAUCAUGUAAAUAGUUUUGGGGGUUUCAGGUUUGUUUGAAGAAAAGAAAAAUAAAUAACUAAGAAUAA